rnacentral:rRNA from 1 species
UGGGGAAUUUUGGACAAUGGGCGAAAGCCUGAUCCAGCAAUGCCGCGUGUGUGAAGAAGGCCUUCGGGUUGUAAAGCACUUUUGUCCGGAAAGAAAUCCUUGGCUCUAAUACAGUCGGGGGAUGACGGUACCGGAAGAAUAAGCACCGGCUAACUACGUGCCAGCAGCCGCGGUAAUACGUAGGGUGCAAGCGUUAAUCGGAAUUACUGGGCGUAAAGCGUGCGCAGGCGGUUUGCUAAGACCGAUGUGAAAUCCCCGGGCUCAACCUGGGAACUGCAUUGGUGACUGGCAGGCUAGAGUAUGGCAGAGGGGGGUAGAAUUCCACGUGUAGCAGUGAAAUGCGUAGAGAUGUGGAGGAAUACCGAUGGCGAAGGCAGCCCCCUGGGCCAAUACUGACGCUCAUGCACGAAAGCGUGGGGGAGCAAAACAGGAUUAGAUACCCUGGUAGUCCACGCCCUAAACGAUGUCAACUAGUUGUGGGGAUUCAUUCCUUAGUAACGUAGCUAACGCGUGAAGUUGACCGCCUGGGGAGUACGGUCGCAAGAUUAAAACUCAAAGGAAUUGACGGGG